rnacentral:rRNA from 1 species
CAGAGGAAACUUUGAAUAAUACCGCAUAAAACAGGGGUCCGGCAUCGGAAUAUUUGUUAAAGGUGGCGACACGGUGAACGAUGGGCAUGCGUUCGAUUAGAUAGUUGGAGAGGUAACGGCUCACCAAGUCUACGAUCGAUAGGGGGUCCGAGAGGAUUAUCCCCCACACUGGUACUGAGAUACGGACCAGACUCCUACGGGAGGCAGCAGUGAGGAAUAUUGGGCAAUGGGCGAAAGCCUGACCCAGCCAUGCCGCGUGCAGGAAGACGGCCCUAUGGGUUGUAAACUGCUUUUACUCGGGAAGAAUAAGGGUUACGUGUAACCCGAUGACGGUACCGAAAGAAUAAGCAUCGGCCAACUCCGUGCCAGCAGCCGCGGUAAUACGGAGGAUGCGAGCGUUAUCCGGAAUUAUUGGGUUUAAAGGGUCCGCAGGCGGACAGGUAAGUCAGUAGUGAAAAACCGGGGCUUAACCCCGGUCGUGCUACAGAAACUGCCUGACUAGAGAAAGUUUGGCGUUGGCGGAAAUGUGACAAGUAGCGGUGAAAUGCAUAGAUAUGUCACAGAACACCGAUAGCGAAAGCAGCUGACGAAGACUAUUCUGACGCUCAGGG